rnacentral:rRNA from 1 species
GAUGAACGCUGGCGGCGUGCCUAAUACAUGCAAGUCGAGCGAACGGACGAGAAGCUUGCUUCUCUGAUGUUAGCGGCGGACGGGUGAGUAACACGUGGAUAACCUACCUAUAAGACUGGGAUAACUUCGGGAAACCGGAGCUAAUACCGGAUAAUAUUUUGAACCGCAUGGUUCAAAAGUAAAAGACGGUCUUGCUGUCACUUAUAGAUGGAUCCGCGCUGCAUUAGCUAGUUGGUAAGGUAACGGCUUACCAAGGCAACGAUGCAUAGCCGACCUGAGAGGGUGAUCGGCCACACUGGAACUGAGACACGGUCCAGACUCCUACGGGAGGCAGCAGUAGGGAAUCUUCCGCAAUGGGCGAAAGCCUGACGGAGCAACGCCGCGUGAGUGAUGAAGGUCUUCGGAUCGUAAAACUCUGUUAUUAGGGAAGAACAUAUGUGUAAGUAACUGUGCACAUCUUGACGGCACCUAAUCAGAAAGCCACGGCUAACUACGUG